GAUGAACGCUAGCGGCAGGCUUAAUACAUGCAAGUCGUGGGGCAGCGCAGUGUAGCAAUACAUGGGCGGCGACCGGCAAACGGGUGCGGAACACGUACGCAACCUUCCUUUAAGUGGGGGAUAGCCCAUAGAAAUGUGGAUUAAUACCUCGUAAGAUUAUAGAGUGGCAUCACUCAGCAAUUAUAGAAUUUCGCUUAAAG
rnacentral:rRNA from 1 species